UAAGAUAUAAUAUACUAAAUAAAAUUACGCUCAGUAAGAGAUUUAUCAUUGUUUUGUGUGUAUAUCUGUAAUAGGUCAAUGGUACUACAUAGUAACAUUAAUUUUUUGCGUAGAUUGUCACUGAUAAAAAAAGGGUUGGGUUUAAGUGUUAAUAAAACUGGUUUAAUUCUUACAAAUAUUUAUGGCUUUUCCAAAAUUUGAAUCCUCGUUUGCUGUUUGCUGUAGUAUGAAAUUUAUCUGUUAGGAUGAUUUGAAACUUUCUAUACACGAGACGAAUUAUAUUGUAUAAUCACAUUUUAACAGUAAGAGAUUAUAGAACAUGCAACGUAAAUUCUACUUAGUUUAUGCACAAUGUAUAAAGUACGGUACAAAUAGAAUGCAUAUCUCAUAUU
rnacentral:lncRNA from 1 species